rnacentral:rRNA from 1 species
UACGUAGGGUGCGAGCGUUAAUCGGAAUUACUGGGCGUAAAGCGUGCGCAGGCGGUUUUGUAAGUCAGAUGUGAAAUCCCCGGGCUCAACCUGGGAACUGCGUUUGAAACUACAAGGCUAGAGUGUAGCAGAGGGGGGUAGAAUUCCACGUGUAGCAGUGAAAUGCGUAGAGAUGUGGAGGAAUACCAAUGGCGAAGGCAGCCCCCUGGGUUAACACUGACGCUCAUGCACGAAAGCGUGGGGAGCAA